rnacentral:tRNA from 1 species
GGUCUUGUAGUGUAGCGGUUAUCACUCGGGAUUCUGAUCUUACUGUCUUCCCGAAACCCAGGUUCGAAUCCUGGCAGGACCU